rnacentral:tRNA from 1 species
GCACCCGUAGCUCAGUUGGAUAGAGCGCUGCCCUCCGAAGGCAGAGGUCGCGCGUUCGAAUCGCGCCGGGUGCACCA